rnacentral:lncRNA from 1 species
GUCAUCGAGGCAUCAUAAUAGUUUCAAAAUUUAGACUCAUAUCAUAUCUGAGUGACAAUUCAUAGUAUAGAAUUGCACUCAAGAUCAAAAAAUCAUUGAGGCAUCCAACACUUGCAACAUAUCGAACAAAUAAUAUCCGUCAAUUCCUUUCGGGUCAUCCAGCAAUCAUAAUAGUUUCAAAAUCACCCAGGCAUCAUAAUAGUUUCAAAAUUUAGGCUUAUAUAUCAUACAUGAGUGACAAUUCAUAGUAUAGAAUUGCAUUCAAGAUCAUAAAAUCAUUGAGGCAUCCCAACACUUGCAACAUAUGGGACAAAUAAUAUCCGUGAAUUCCUUUCGGGUCAUCGAGGCAUCAUAAUAGUUUCAAAAUUUAGGCUCAUAUAUGAUAUAUGAGUCACAAUUCAUAUUAUAGAAUUGCAUUCAAGAUCAUAAAAUCACCAAGGCACACCAACACUUGCAACAUAUGGGACAAAUAAUAUCCGGCAAUUCCUUUCAGUUCAUCGAGGCAUCAUAAUAGUUUCGAAAUCAUCAAGGCAUCAUAAUAGUUUCAAAAUUUAGGCUUAUAUAUCAAACAUGAGUGACAAUUCAUAGUAUAGAAUUGCACUCAAGAUCAUUAAAUCAUUAAGGCAUCCCAACACCUGCAACAUAUUGGACAAAUAAUAUCCGUGAAUUCCUUUCGGGUCAUCGAGACAUCAUAAUAGUUUCAAAAUUUGAGCUAGUUUAGAAUUUUACUCGAGAUCAUAAAAUCACAUAGGCAUCUCAAAACUUGCAACAUAUGGGACAAAUUAGAACCGUCAAUUCCUUUCGGGUCAUCAAAGCAUCAUAAUAGUUUCAAAUUUGGGCGCAUAUAUCAUAUGAGUAACAAUUCAUAGUCUAGAAUUGCACUCAAGAUCAUAAAAUCACAUAGGCAUCUCAAAACUUGCAACAUACGGAACAAAUAAUAUCCGUCAAUUCAUUUCGGGUCAUCGAGACAUCAUAAUAGUUUCAAAAUUAAUGCUCAUAUAUAUCUCAUAUUUGAGUAACAAUUCAUAGUCUAGAAUUUCACUCAAGAUUAUAAAAUCAUAGAGGCAUCCCAACACUUGCAACAUAUAGAACAAAUAAUAACCGUCAAUUCCUUUCGGGUCAUCGAGGCAUCAUAAUAGUUUCAAAAUUUAGGCUCAUAUGUCAUAUAUGAGUGAGUCACAAUUAUUAGUAUAGUAUUGCAUUCAAGAUCAUAAAAUCAUUGAGGCAUCCCAACACUUGCAAAAAUGGGACAAAUAAUAUCCGUCAAUUCCUUUCGGUUCAUCGAGGCAUCAUAAUAGUUUCAAAAUUUAGGCUUAUAUAUCAUAUAUGAGUGACAAUUCAUAGUAUAGAAUUGCACUCAAGAUCAUAAAAUCAUUAAGGCAUCCCAACACUUGCAAAAAUGGGACAAAUAAUAUCCGUCAAUUCUUUUCGGGUUAUCGAGGCAUCAUAAUAGUUUCAAAAUUUAGGCUCAUAUAUCAUAUAUGAGUGACAAUUCAUAGUAUAAAAUUGCACUCAAGAUCAUAAAAUCAUUGAGGCAUCCGAACACUUGCAACAUAUGGAACAAAUAAUAUCCGUCAAUUCCAUUCGGGGUCAACGAGGCAUCAUAAUAGUUUCAAAAUUUAGGCUCAUAUAUCAUAUGAGUCACAAUUUAUAGUAUAGAAUUGCACUCAAGAUAAUAAAAUCAUUAAGGCAUCCCAACACUUGCAACAAAUGGAACAAAUAAUAUCCGUCAAUUCCUUUCGGGUCAUCGAGACAUCAUAAUAGUUUCAAAAUUUAGGUUCAUAUAUCAUAUAUGAGUGACAAUUCGUAGUAUAGAAUGGCACUCAAGAUCAUAAAAUCAAUGAGGCAUCCCAACACUAGAAACAUAUGGGACAAAAAAUAUCCGCAAUUCCUUUCGGGUCAUCGAGGCAUCAUAAUAGUUACAAAAUUUAGGCUCAUAUAUCAUAUAUGAGUGACAAUUCGUAGUAUAGAAUGGCACUCAAGAUCAUAAGAUCAGAGGCAUACCAACACUUGCAACAUAUGGGACAAAUAAUAUCCAUCAAUUCCUUUCGGGUCAUCGAAGCAUCAUAAUAAUUUCAAAAUUUAGGCUCAUAUAUCAUAUAUGAGUCAAUUCAUAUAAUAGUCAAUUCAUAUAAUACAAUUGCACUCAAGAUCAUAAAAUCAUUAAGGCAUCCCAACACUUGCAACAUAUGGAACAAAUAAUAUCCGUCAAUUCCUUUCGGGUCAUCGAGGCAUCAUAAUAGUUUCAAAAUUUAGGCUUAUAUAUCAUAUAUGAGUGACAAUUCAUAGUAUAGAAUUGCACUCAAGAUCAUAAAAUCAAUGAGGCAUCCCA